UACGUAGGGUGCAGGCGUUAAUCGGAAUUACUGGGCGUAAAGCGUGCGCAGGCGGUUUCUUAAGUCAGGUGUGAAAGCCCCGGGCUUAACCUGGGAACUGCGUUUGAAACUGGGAGACUUGAGUGUGGCAGAGGGGGGUGGAAUUCCACGUGUAGCAGUGAAAUGCGUAGAUAUGUGGAGGAACACCGAUGGCGAAGGCAGCCCCCUGGGUUAACACUGACGUUCAUGCACGAAAGCGUGGGGAGCAAACAGG
rnacentral:rRNA from 1 species